rnacentral:lncRNA from 1 species
AAAGAAUUGCUGUGUCAUAGCAGGGCACUUACUCAUGAUCUCUUUACUUCAACUAAAAUAAAGGUAUUCCUUCCAUUAUGUACUAAAAAUAGUACGACACAUUUAGCUGUUGUUAUCUGAUACUCACAUUGCAUAUUUUAUUAUAUUCAUUUUCUUUUCUUCUUUCUUCUUUCUUCUUUCUUCUUUCUUCUUUCAACUUUUAUACCAAGCAAAGCAUCUGCAACCUUCAACUAGAGCCUGGAGGACAGCUUUAUCUCUACUCUGAAGUCUGAAACCAAAAAAUGCCAAAUACAGAGUAAAGUGAAGCAGUCAACUUUUCUCAAAUUCCAAAGAAAGGUCAAGCAGAUUCAUUUCUUGAUUUAACAAUCAUGUUCAAAUCAUCGAAAUGGAAAAAGGAGAAAAUCAAAGCUGUAUUCAGAAUGCAGUUUCAAGUAACACAGGUAUGAUAACAGGAUGGUGGAAAGUUGUUUUCUU